UACAGAGGGUGCAAGCGUUGUUCGGAAUUAUUGGGCGUAAAGCGCGUGUAGGCGGCUUUGCAAGUCGGGUGUGAAAGCCCUCAGCUUAACUGAGGAAGUGCGCCCGAAACUGCAUUGCUUGAGUACCGGAGAGGGUGGCGGAAUUCCCCAAGUAGAGGUGAAAUUCGUAGAUAUGGGGAGGAGCACCGGUGGCGAAGGCGGCCACCUGGACGGAUACUGACGCUGAGACGCGAAAGCGUGGGUAGCAAACAGG
rnacentral:rRNA from 1 species